rnacentral:rRNA from 1 species
AUCUCCUUUUGAGUAUAAUUUAAGGUUUGAUCUGCUCAAUGAUAAAUUAAAUUGCCGCAAUAUUUUGAUUGUGCUAAGGUAGCAUAAUAGUUAGUUUCUUGAUUAGGAACUGGAAUGAAGGAUUUAACAAAAAGAUUUCUGUCUCAUUUAAUUUUUUUUUGAAUUUUAUUUUUAAGUGAAAAAGCUUAAGUUUUUUUAAAAGACGAGAAGACCCUAUAGAGUUUUACAAUAUUUUUAAAUUUUUUUAGUAAUUAAUUUUUAUUUAAUUUUGUUUGGUUGGGGUAAUUAUAAGAUAAGUAAAAUUCUUAUUUUGUUAGUUAAUGAUUUUUAAAUGUUAGUACUAAUUUUUUUAAGAGAAAAAAAAAUUACCUUAGGGAUAACAGCGUAAUUUUUCUUUAGAGUUCUUAUUGAAAGAAGAGAUUACGACCUCGAUGUUGGAUUAAAAUAAAAUUCUGAUGCAGAAGUUAGGAGUUUUGGUCUGUUCGACCAUUAAAAUU